CGCUGAAAGCAUCUAAGCGGGACGCUCGCUUCAAGAUUAGGUUUCUCACUGGUUUACCAGGUAAGACCCCCAGUAGACGACGGGGUUGAUAGGGUGGAAGUGGAAGAGCCGCAAGGCUUGGAGCUGACCACUACUAAUAGGCCGAGGAUUUAACUACAA
rnacentral:rRNA from 1 species